ACCUCCAGUGCCUACUGAGCUGAUAACAGUUUUACCUGAAACAAGUACUGGCUCAGUUCAGCAGGAACCGGAGUU
ncrna:Oryzias latipes (Japanese medaka) microRNA ola-mir-24b precursor